UGGCGGCGUGCUUAACACAUGCAAGUCGAACGAGGGUCAUUUGGUAGCUUGCUAUUGGAUGAUUCGAGUGGCGGACGGGUGAGUAACGCGUAGGCAACCUGCCCUUCAGACGGGGACAACAUCCCGAAAGGGGUGCUAAUACCGGAUACGAAGGAGCUAUCGCAUGGUGGCUCUUUGAAAGAUGGCCUCUAUUUAUAAGCUAUCGCUGAAGGAUGGGCCUGCGUCCGAUUAGCUGGUUGGUGGGGUAACGGCCUACCAAGGCGACGAUCGGUAGCCGGUCUGAGAGGAUGAACGGCCACAUUGGGACUGAGACACGGCCCAGACUCC
rnacentral:rRNA from 1 species